CUAUACAUGACUCUGCGCAUAUCAAUAAGCGGAGGAAAAGGUACCUACGCUUAGGAUGUUGACGAGACUGUCGAUCUCAUCUAUACACGACUCUGUGCAUAUCAAUAAGCGGAGGAAAAGUCAAUACCUACGCUUAGGAUGUUGACGAGACUGUCGAUCUCAUCUAUACAUGACUCUGUCGCAUAUCAAUAAGCGGAGGAAAAGCUAUACCUACGCUUAGGAUGUUGACGAGACUGUCGAUCUCAUCUAUACAUGACUCUGCGCAUAUCAAUAAGCGGAGGAAAAGAAACUAACAAGGAUUCCCCUAGUAACGGCGAGUGAAGCGGGAAGAGCUCAAAUUUGAAAUCUUCAAGGUUUGACCUUGACGAAUUGUAGUUUAAAGAAGUGUUUUCGGUUAGAGGAGUAGUAAAAGUUCUUUGGAAUAGGACAUCAUAGAGGGUGAGAAUCCCGUAUUUGACUAUUCUUUCUAGCUUUGUGAUACACUUUCAAAGAGUCGGAUUGUUUGGGAAUGCAGUCCAAAAUGGGUGGUAAAUUUCAUCUAAAGCUAAAUAUUGGCGAGAGACCGAUAGCGAACAAGUACCGUGAGGGAAAGAUGAAAAGAACUUUGAAAAGAGAGUUAAACAGUACGUGAAAUUGUCAAAAGGGAAGCGUUUGACACCAGUGUUGUUUUUCCGAAAAUCAAUUAAAAAUUGAUUCAUGCUAGGUUGUAUUGACCUCAUCAGCUUGCAAUUUAGUUUUGGGUCUCUUUUUGAUGCACUUUUCGGUUAACAAGUCAACAUCAAUUUCCUUUGCUGUAAAAAGGUAAGAGGAAGGUGGCUUCAAUUUCGGUUGAAGUGUUUAUAGCCUUUUAUCUCUGCAGUCGGGGAGAUUGAGGUCUGCAGCGUAGAUCCUUCGGGGCUAGAUACAUUUAUGCUAAGUUAUAGCUUUUCAUAGACAACUUGUUGACUAUGUUUAGUCAUGUAGCUUACUCGUAAGUGCUAUUUUACCUACGCUUAGGAUGUUGACGAGACUGUCGAUCUC
rnacentral:rRNA from 1 species